AGCAAGGUGGCUCAGUGGCUAGAGCGCCAGGCUUGAGUUGGUUUCAAAUUUGAUCUCAAGGUAUUUUCUGGCUGGUGACCCUGGGAGAGUUACUUCACCCUGAUUGCCUAGCCCUUGCUG
rnacentral:tRNA from 1 species